rnacentral:rRNA from 1 species
GACGUAGGGCGCGAGCGUUGUCCGGAUUUAUUGGGCGUAAAGAGCUCGUAGGCGGCUUGUCGCGUCGACUGUGAAAUCCCGCGGCUCAACUGCGGGUCUGCAGUCGAUACGGGCAGGCUAGAGUUCGGUAGGGGAGACUGGAAUUCCUGGUGUAGCGGUGAAAUGCGCAGAUAUCAGGAGGAACACCGAUGGCGAAGGCAGGUCUCUGGGCCGAUACUGACGCUGAGGAACGAAAGCGUGGGGAGCGAACAGG